rnacentral:rRNA from 1 species
GAUGAACGCUGGCGGCGUGCCUAAUACAUGCAAGUCGAGCGAACAGACGAGGAGCUUGCUCCUCUGACGUUAGCGGCGGACGGGUGAGUAACACGUGGAUAACCUACCUAUAAGACUGGGGUAACUUCGGGAAACCGGAGCUAACACCGGAUAAGAUAUUGAACCGCAUGGUUCAAUAGCGAAAGACGGUUUUGCUGUCACUUAUAGAUGGAUCCGCGCCGCAUUAGCUAGUUGGUAAGGUAACGGCUUACCAAGGCAACGAUGCGUAGCCGACCUGAGAGGGUGAUCGGCCACACUGGAACUGAGACACGGUCCAGACUCCUACGGGAGGCAGCAGUAGGGAAUCUUCCGCAAUGGGCGAAAGCCUGACGGAGCAACGCCGCGUGAGUGAUGAAGGUCUUCGGAUCGUAAAGCUCUGUUAUUAGGGAAGAACAAAUGUGUAAGUAACUAUGCACGUCUUGACGGUACCUAAUCAGAAAGCCACGGCUAACUACGUG